UACAACAAAGACUAUAGAUGGCAGGUCCAUAGCCAACAUAUUAAAUGGAAAACUAAAAGUAUUUUCUCAAAAUUCAGGAGUAAGACAAGCUGCCCACUCUUACCUACUUAUUCAGUACAGUGUUUGGAGUGUUAGCUGGAGCAAUAAGACAAGAAAAAGAAAUCAAACUGAUACAAGUAGGGAAGGAAGAAGUCAAACUAUCCUUACUUGCAGACAUGAUUCUAUGUUGUUGUUGUUGUUGAGUUUUAUUAAAGAUCCUAAUAGCUACCAGAAAACUCUUCAACCCAAUGGACACUUUCAACAAUGUGGCAGGAUACAAUAUCCACAUAUGAAAAAUUACUUAACCUUUCUAUAUACCAGUAGUGAACAUAGUGAGAAAAAAGUUUCAUUCACAAUAGGAAGCAUCUUUUAAGUUCAAAAUCCACCACCUUGUCUCUUUUCUAAAUGAAGACAUGGCUUUCAUACUUCAUUGAUAAACUUACUUCUCUAUGGAACGAAGGGGAAUGCUUCACUCAGACUGAGUCUACAUCCUCUUCCAGGGACUGGAAUCCUAUUUGCCUUGCUUCUGUGUUCAAGAGAGUUUCUAGAAGGUUAGAACCAGGAUCCCCAAGCUGUGCUACAGGCUGCUACUGAAGAAAGACACAGCAAUCCAAGGUCAUUUAAAAUGGUCUCAUAAGUGAGCAAAGGUCUUCAGAGAAAGGCACAUUAUCAAGGUUGUCCCUAGCCACCAGUAGUGGGUUUGCAGGGUGAUGUAGGCUGAAGGCUGAACAUGGCUCCACAGCUCACUGUCGUUUCUCAGGAUUCUUUUAAGAUGCAAUAACUAACUCUUUCACCUUCUUGCCAGUAAUCAGAUGGAUAUUUGGGAGAAAGUGGGUUUCCUCCUGUUUGGAUGGUUCUUGAAAACCUUUACCCAAAGGAUUCAACUUUUGAAAUAGCAGCUCCCUGAGAGCUGGAUAUGACCUAAUUAAAUGUACUGUACAACCACUGACUGCCUGGGCCCUUUAAAAAUUCCAGACAAUUCUAAGAUGUGCAGACAUGAAAUACAAACAACUAAAAUCCCCCCUCCCCGGGGAUCAAAAAACUCUGUACUCCAGCAGAAAAUUAUGCCUACAUCAUGUUUCUGUAUCCUGGACUCAGGAGCCAUAGAGAUCAAUACAAACUAAUUGGGUGCUAAUAAGUCUAAUAGCUUCCCUCUGGUUUGUACAGCUAAUGGCCUGGGAUAAAUCCUUUACCUGGGUGAUUGCCAGUGAUAGCAAACUCACUACAUUCCAAUCUGAACUCAACAUUGCCAUCCCCACACCUGUGUGUUCUCAAUCUUGGUUGGUGGUCUUCUAUCUAAGAUAGGGACAUACAAGGCAUCCUUGACCUUGGUCAUUGGUCACCAUCACCCCCCCCCCCAGUAUCUAAGUGUUAAGUCCUUAAAGUUCUGGAGUUCUGUCCCCUCUUGCCAUCCCCAAUGUCCCUGCCCAAAUAGAAGCUUUUGCUUUCUCUCACUUGGAAUAUACAGUUUGCCCCCUUAACUUUUGGAGCAAUACAACUAACACUCAAAUCUGAACUUUUUGUUGUUCCCUGAAUUAUAUCAGCAGUUCCUCUAUAUUACGAAAACAGAACGUACAUUUCUGAAUAGUGUGCUUCAUCUGGUAUCCAGGGUUCCUUGCAUAUACAGGUCCUGACUAGCUUUUUAGUCUUGUCUCUCUUCAUUUACUUUAAACACUUCUAUUGCAUUUUGCUUGUUUGUUUGUGUGUUUAGUACAUUUAUGUAUGGGCACACAUGCACAUACACUGUGGCUUCCAUGUUCAGGAUGGAAGACAACUUGCAAGAAUCGGUUCUCUUCUUCUUCCGUGUGAGUACAAAGGACUGAGCUCAAGUCACCAGGCUUGGGCACAACCGGAACCUUUACUUGCUGAUCCAUCUUGCUAGGUUCUGCAUUUAUUUUGUACAUUAUACACCUGUCACCACAAGAUAGUCAUUAUUUUUCUUCUUUUAUAUUUGCAGGGAGGAAAGCAAAUGCUAUCAAGAAGGGUUUCUGCUCUUAGACCUUCCUCUAUCUUUGCCUAGUGAGAAUCCCAAUUUGCUGACUCAUCUUGUUUCCAGUAGCUCAGAAUCUAUUGUAAAUAAAAGAAAACUGGAGAGUUUGCCACUGUGUGACCUACCGUGUCUGCAGGUCUGAGGCAGUAUGCUGCUCAGGGACUUACUGGGUUAGUACAGGAUUGUUUUUCUUUAAGAUGACAAUGGGUAAGGAGGCUAGAGAGAAACAGAAGUAUUCAAUCUUGGCAGAAUCAGCAUCCAUCAAAUAACUCCUAAAGAAUAAAUAAAAAGAGGCUGUUUGAGAAAGGUCUAGGAACCAGAACAGCUGGGUGUUUUGAAAGAUGUAUACUCCUCUUUCAUGAGUCUUUAGGGGGACCCUGUCCUGAGUAUCAGAUGAUGAAGUUAUGUUUUAUCAACUCCUAGGAAGAAACAUACACACACACACACACACACACACACACACACACACACACACACCAAACCAAAGGAAAAAAAAAAACCUGAAUACUAUUUUGAAGAGCAUGUGGAUAGAGAGAAUGACUUGGAAUAAAUCUGUCUGUCAUGUAUCAGGCCCGUUCCAAAGACCAGCAUCAAAGCCAUCUCCAAGUGAUCACUGUUUGCUUCUUUUGUGAAAGAAUAGCUAAAAUCUCUCCAAAGGGACCUCAGUUGAAGUCAUAGCAGGCUCUUCUAAUUGACAAACUGUGGGACUCUUGGGCAACCAUCAGAACAGCUUUUAACUAAACAAGGAAAUAAGAAACUCUGGUCAAGGGCUAGGACAGCACAAGUAAGAAGGCAUAGUUUGGUCCCUAACUUAGACAGAAGUAUGAGUUACAUUCAUACCUUAUCCCUAGCUUAGCCCAUGGUGGAUGUUGGGAGAGUUUAAUUGGGAAGGAUGGAGACAAGUAUCUAAGAUCUUAGCAACAGCAAGAUCAUCCAAGACUGCCAAGCUGGGAACUGCCUUUAGCAAAUGACCCAUCGCUUGGACACUAAAUUAAAAUGGAGCCCAGAGGCCUAAAUGACAGAGGCCUUUAAGCCUCAGAUUGAAGUCAUGGAUGGAAUCAUAUUUCUCUGAAUUCUGCUUCUUUUUUAAAAAUUUGUUAUUGUAUUUAUGUACAGAAAACUCAGUGUACAUUUAACCCAAUUUAGUGGCGAGUUCUUUGACCUUUACCUUUUCCAGCUUGGCAAUGCGAGCCACAGACUUAGGACCCAAGACAGUGCCUCCCAGUGGUGGUGGAUCUCGUCAUAUCUGCCAUUAUAAUUGGUCCUAAUAGCUUCCACCACCGUUUUGGACUCCUGUUUCUUGACAAUGGUAGUGUCCGGGGCUACCUUCUUCCCCUUGGGCAUCUUGCUGGCCUGGAGGAGAGAACUGAAUUCUGCUUCUAACCGUGAAUUUCCUUAAAAAUCCCAACCUGCCCUGAGGUUUGUUAGAUUCCGCAAGAUGCCGUGGAUCUGCAGCCUCAUUGUGGAAGUGACACAUAGACUCUUUCACACCUGGGUUCCUUCUCCCCUCUCUGUGCUCUAUACAGAGUGGUUGGGCAAUGUUGUAAGUGAAAGCUCUUUGAUUUCUGUCACAUGAAUCUGAGAAAGUCUCCAAGCCUCCAAUGAGUUCGUAAACAAAUGAGUUUAUGAACAACAUAGUACUAGAAAGAAAAGAAUUUUACAAGGACUCAGAGUUGAUAAGGGACAGCCCAGAUGGAUGUGAUAGUUUCCCAGAUCUUCUUGGACACGGACUGGAAUCCUUUCUGGCUGUCACUGGAUUCAAGGGCCAGAUCCUAAAAUUAAAGAAUGGAGAGAUUCUGUUCCUGCUAACUUCCCACAGAACAGCUCGAGAACACAGAGCUCAUACUAUUCUAAUUAAUUUAUCCAUAUGUAAAUGUCUCCUAGAGGAGUGGGAGUAGACACUGAUGAGGAGCACCAGUGGCUCUUACAGAGCUUGCUGUGAUCCUGUGGGACUCAGUCUGCCCAGCCAAAUUGGAUCUCAGCUCCAUAGACCCUGUGACGAGCAGAUUUAAGGGCCAAGAAGAUGGCGCAGUGGGUGGGGGACUUACUGCAUAGGCACACGGACCUGAUCUCAGAUCCCCAGGGCCCGAGGGGGGGAAAAAAUCAAGUGUGGCAGUGCCCACCUGUUAUCUCAGAUCUGGGAAGCAGAGACAGGAAGCUCCAGGGUGACAGCCAGCUCAGCCAGUUCAGUGCCUUCACAGGUGUGGCCAUUACCACAAACCAAUUUUAGAACAUCUUCUUCUUUACUAAAAGAGAAACCGAAGAUAUAAUUCACUAUCUAUGUGGAAAUCUCUCUGCUGUAUCUAGCACUUUGCAAAAUGUGGUUAAAAGUUCAGCUUAGUCUAACAUUGAAGAGGGGACCUGUGUUUAUGUUUAGGAGACAGAGGAAGGGCGGGGAGCAUUCUGACCAUGGAUGUAUCCAACAACCCUAAACUGUAGAUGGUGGUGUACAGUAACGGUGGUCAGGUCACCUGCAAUAAUUUCAGAAGUGUCACUGACACAGGAAGCUCCUGUAAGGAGUCCCCUGACAUCACUCACAGAGUAUAGCUACUGGGUAUACUUGGGUAUAGCUAUUGUUGAGACCUAAUUUGUAGCAACUUCUUGAGGAGGCAUUCAGGUGACUUUCAAGCAUAGCUAGUGACAGUUGAGAUGGCUGAAAAUAUUUACCAGCUCUGAAGCUGCCACCAUUUAAAAACUCUAUAUUGAAAUAGAAAUUAAUUUAAAAAAAAUCGUUCUCACUAAGCAAAGCCAACUCAUUUUUGCAACUGCCCAUAUUGUCACUAUUCUGCACAGGUAUGUAGAAAACAGCUUUUCUGUAACACUUAAAAAAAUAAACGUAAAAAAAAAAAUAAAUAAAGGUAACUGACAGCAGAGACCAACUGUGAGAACCAGUCAGGGAGAGCUUUGCCAUCCUUGGUGUGCUCUCCUGAAAUGUGUGCAGCUGUGCUGAGCAAGCCAGAGCAGCACAUAUGGAGCUGCCUAAGUCAUUCCUACACCCAGACUCCCAUGUAGGAGGUUUUGUCUGUAACACACAGCUGAGCCCUCUGCCUUGUAUCCUGACUGCACUGGCUUGCUCCAAACACUCUUGAAUUUGCCAUUUUGUCUAUCUGUCUGAUGCCUCGCUUCUCAAACCCUACUAUUUGCAUAUGUUGUGACAGUGAUUGAGCAGGGAAUACCAAUAAAAACCCCACUGUACUUGCUCUCAAUUAUGAAUCAUUAGCCUAAUAUCACCUUAAAUCAGUAAAUAAAAUAAAAAUUACGAGGUUAUCGGCGGCCUGUCAACACUUCUUCUCAACAUUGGAGAUAGAAGUACAAGCCAACUGUAAAGACACGAUGAAUUUAAGUAUUCACUCCAAAUCAACCUGCCAGCCUGUCUCACUGGGGGCCUUUCAAUGCCAGUAGCAUGACACUGUCUCCUCUUCAGUCAGUCAUAGUAUUAGCUAGCAUUCUCUAGAGUAACAACUUAUAGAAUGAAUCUGUCUUCAUAUACAUAGAAAAGAAGUUUAUUAGAAUGGCUUAGAGGCUCUGCUAUUCCAACCAUGGCUACCUAGGAGCAGAAAGCCCAAGAAUCCAGUAGUUGCUCGGUCCACAAGGCUGGAUGUCUCAGCUGGUCUUUGGUAUACGCUGGAAUGCCAAAGAAGUAGUAGGCUCUGAUGCCAAUGAAGGAAUGGACUUGGUAGCAAAUCAAGAGCAAGCAGGCCAAGAGCAAAAGCUUCCUUCUUACACAUCCUUACACAGGCUUCUAGCGGAAGGCGUGGCCCAGAUUAGAUCUGGACUCAAGGUAUCUCUUUCCUCUUCAAGAUCUGGAUUAAAGUUGUGUCUUCCUACCUCAAAGAUCCCCAUUAGAAGUAGAUCUUCCUGCUUCAGAUUAAGCAGAAAUUCCUCACAGGUGUAUCCUCUACUUUGGGGUUUUAGCUAAUUCUCCAUGACGUCAAAUUGACAACCGAGAACAGCCACGACAGUCAUGUCCUCAAAGGUGAACAUUCUACAGAGCUUCCAGGACAAGCAACAGGAGAGAGAGGUCCAGUCCUUGGCGUGUCAGUGACCACAAUGCUUUUCCUCUCUCUGGAGGAACUCACCAGAACUUUUGAAUUGGCCUCUUAUUCCCUAUUUCUCUUUCACCCAGGGGGUGGCACUGGAUGAGAUUCCCUACUCAAACCCCUGCCACUUUCCUCCACAUGGUGCCUGCCCGACUCACCAACUCCAGAGAGCUUGGCACUCACUGUACAGGACUCUCAGCUUUUGAGGAAUCUGGAUCAUAGACUAUGAGGCUUCCUUGAUCACUCCGGGGGCCGGAGGGCGGGAGUAGGGGGGAAGCAGAAGUCCAGAGCAUUCCUAGGCAGCUAUAUAAUGUCGUAUUGUAUAAAGAAGCCAUCUUCAAACUUCUAGUCAAUCAUAGGAAAAGUUAGCCUUCAAAAGGCUGUCAGGACACAGGGCCAAGCUUUCUCCAAAGUGAUUUCGCCAUUACAGAGCCACCAACAAUCUAAAAGUGGUCCUGAAUUUUCAUGCCUUUCUCCACACUCCGAGUUUUUACUGAACUGACUUAAGUAUCCAGGCCUUGGGUACAGUUGGUUUUUAGUGGGGAGAUAAAGUUUUACAUAGGAUUCUUUCUCUCCCCUGUACCAGGCUUUACUAGGUCCCAUGUUUGCAUAUUUCCAAAAGUGGAAAAAGUGGUUCUCUGGUACUUAGAGUGCAAGGGAUUCUCCGAGUCUGUGCUGUGUGGACGUUUUCUCUUACUCCAUUGCAGAAGCAUCAGGUGAAACCGUGACCCUCAUCUACAAGAACUUGGGGCAGGGUCCAAAGGUCCCUAAACUUAGAGGUAACAGUAGAUCUUUAGAGGGCUAGUCCCCAUAGUGUGCAAACCCAAAUUAAUCCACCAGCAACUGACACACACUGGAAAAAGUCAAGAAAAGACAUAAACCAAAGUCCAGGUGAUGAAGUGCGACCAAGGGUGGCCAACCUUGUUCUAGGGCGGUGGUUCUCAAUCUUCCUAGUGCUUCCUUUUGUACAGUUCCUCUGGUUGUGACCCCAGCCAUAAGCUUAUUUUGUUGCUACUUUAUAACUGUAAUUUUGCUACUGUUGUGAACCAUAAUGCAAAUCUGAUAUGUGAGACACACACACACACACACACACACACACACCAAAAGGGAUUGUGACCCACAGAUUGAGAAUCACUAUCCUAGAGAGAGAAGGACACCUGGGAAGACUGAUUUGCCGAGGAAAAGGUCCUCAAAGGUGAGGUGAUGCAGGAACUGGGAAGGGUUGUUAGAAAGACAAGGGGGCGUUUAAUAUACUCAUAGCAGCUGUCACGGGGGACAGAUGAAGAUAGGCUUAAGGAUUUAGGAGGACCAGUACUCUCUGGAUGCAAUUCAAAGGUCACGGGUAAAAGACUCUCCACAAAUAUGGCGGAUGUGGGAAAAGAGUUUAGCACGAAUCAGCUCCUUGUUGGACAUCACCAGCCUCACCCUGGAGUCUUGCCUGUGAGUGGAAGUGAGGAGCGUGGAAAAGCCCUUCGAAAAAAAGCAGACUCUGCUCCCUCCACCCUCAAAAGAAGUUGGCAGGCGUGUGAUGAGACAUGUGCACUCUGGCUGUUGGGGAUCAGCUCUGGAAAGUGAACUGUGAGAAGAAAUGAGAUAUCAGCUGGGUCGGUAACGAGAACACAGCUCCGUUGGAGGACCUUGUUCUCGGAAGAGUCAUUGAUCACUGUACCCGGGCUGUGUAAGUGUUGACUAAGCAGGUUUCACUACCCUGGGAAAGAAGACUACAAAAACGUUGGCAUUUCCUGUGGUUAACAUCUGCCUGUGAUGUUAAAAAGGAAACACUGAGAAGUGACUGAUGCUCUCAUGAAACAUGUGGGAUCUAUCAGAGGAAGACUUCAUGAUAAUGAGACACGUGGGGCAGGUCCAGUGGUGGAAGAGCACUGAGCACUCCCAAGUGCUGGGCUGGCUCCUCCAUCCCGUAGCUAUGCUCAAGUUUCUAAUAUCUGAUGUAUGAGUGGUUUUGCCUGUCUGCAUGUCUGUGCACCGUGGCUGUGCCUGGUGCCUGCAAAGACCAAAAGAGUAUGUCAGAU